GUCUCAAGCAUGAACAAAUAUGAUUCUAUUUGGAUGUCAUUGCAUUUGCAUUAACCUCGCAUCAUCAUAUCAAUAUUUAUACAAUAUUUUGCCAAUUCUUCUUAAAUUUGUCCUAUUUGUGAAAUGUCCAGAAAAUGUGCUCGUUUAAUUUUUCUAAAAGCGUUGUAAGUUACACCUCCUUAACACAAAUCACAUAAUUAAUUUUAGGUGACUCAUAAACUUAUGUUAUCGGGAAAAACUCACGUUUAAUGAAUAUAAUGUUGCGGCAGUUAGUGGACGCCCCACCGGUGAAACCUGCUCAAGAUUUGAGUGACAGUUCUCAAACCCCUCCCCUUUACUAACAUUUCGGCAGGUAACGUUACUAAAUGGCAAACACGGAUGAUUACGAACAGUGAUGGAUAACUGACGGACAACGAACACGCACCUCAAAACAAAGUUGUUUUUAUAAACAUUAAAAGGGAAGUUUCAAUAAUACCUGCAAUUUAAACUCUGCAUGCUGCAUUGACGAGAAAAAGAUGCAAUUGUGGAAACUACCUCACCAUCAUGGCCGACUAAAAAAACCGUAUGGCGUCUUAAAGACUCCUCAUUGGGUGAUUGGGCCGAACGAACACAGGCUUGACGCUUUGCGAGUGUUGAUUGGAUGCAGCGUAUGUCAAUCAACGGAAGGGCCGCUUUACGGUGCUUAAGAAAACAUGGAACUGGAUUUUCAGUCUUUCCCUUUUAUUUCUCCCCUCCCACAUCAAGGACCGAUAAAAGGUGUUAGCAAAUACAUGUUCAGGAUUGGCUUUUUACAGGGGUUUACAGUAUGUGGCAUAAUAGCUACCCCCGUAACAUUUGUAGGUAAGUUAUUUAAUCCAAUCCGCGUAUUUGUCAAAAAUCUUUAUGUAGCUUAUUAAACAGGAUAUUUCACCUGAUAAAGCAAUUGAUUGGGUAUUAUUUUUGUCGUUUUUGGGAAUUCUCUUUAGUUCAAUCACAUUUAUGUAUUACUUUUUAAUGUAUUUAUUGAUUGUUUAAUUUUGAUUUAAGCAACUGAAUACUUAUUGGUUUUACUUAAUUAUAUAAUUAAACAUUAAUUUCAAUGUUCUGUCCGUACUCUUUACAUCUGUCAUUUCAGCAGACACUUUUUAUUUAAAGCUUUUUACAAUACUUACACUUAUUGGAUAUACAGGACCUUCUGAAGCAAACUGGAGUUAAGUGCCACCCUCAAGGGCAAAAUGGUGAGUGAUCCCAGGCACUUCUCCCAUUCCUGGGUCAACCUUUGUGGUAGCAGAGCGUAUUUAUAACCAUCAGGCUACCACCACUUCCAAUAGUCUCAUGCAUUUAUAAUAUGUCAUUAUAGCAAACACAAAUAUUGUUGUCGACUUCUUCAGAGUAUGAAAUAAAUGAUUAAAUUAAUGAAUGUUUGAUAAGCAGUCAAAUUACAUCUGUCAAUCAAAUGUAGGUAAUUUGUGAAGUUUACAGGCACCGACAGCUAUGGUCCAGAGCAGGAAUACCGUUUGUUUAUCCCAGACAAAACCAAAAGUAUGUGGUACAUAAUUGACCACACACUGAAUGACCUUUAUCUUUAAAUAUUUUGAAUAUAAGUGUAAAUCAUAACAUGUUUUGUGUGGUCAGUCUUUUCUUAGAUGUACUUACUGGAUUGGCUUACUCAAAACUGCUUUUUAAUGUAAAGAUGAGAAAUGUUUGUAACAUGAUCCCUUAAGCAGUGACAAAAGAGAAACAAUCAUUCGCUCCAUCACCCCCUCUCCAUCCCCGUUCUCUCUCUCCUCCGCUCUCUUAACCUCUAAGCAUCCCCAAGAUCAGUCUCCAUUACCUCUGCUUUACGGCUCUUUAGAUGAACCCGUGAGAGGGCUUUCUCAAUGAUCUCUAGCAUCUAAAUGGACUCCCUUCCUGUCUGCAACAAUAAUAACCAAUGUGGAAAUCCCCCUGCUUUGCUGCCGUCUGGUAUGGGGAGUCACGUGGCACUGCGCAGUCCCUGGAGCCCAGAGCCCUACUCACCCUGGUCUCUUAGAUGCUCCUGUUUACUCACAAAAUCCUAUUGCUGUUAACUAAGAAUCCACAAUGGCCUUGAGACAGAAACAUGGACUCCCUUUAAUUAUUAAAGCCCUGUUUAUCUAGCACUUGUGUGGGAGGAUAACUGGAUUACUUUAGUAUCUCACCAUCAUGGAGAAGAUGUGAAUAAAUUUUAAGUGGUACAUUAUUAUAAUUACUUGAUAAUUUGGCACUGGUUUUCAUGUAAUAUUAUAAGGUGGAUUUUGUUAUACUUAAUAAAUGAAUAAAUUCUAAAAA